CAGUAGCCGCGGGAACACGUAGGGUGCAAGCGUUAAUCGGAAUUACUGGGCGUAAAGCGUGCGCAGGCGGUUAUAUAAGACAGAUGUGAAAUCCCCGGGCUCAACCUGGGAACUGCAUUUGUGACUGUAUAGCUAGAGUACGGCAGAGGGGGAUGGAAUUCCGCGUGUAGCAGUGAAAUGCGUAGAUAUGCGGAGGAACACCGAUGGCGAAGGCAAUCCCCUGGGCCUGUACUGACGCUCAUGCACGAAAGCGUGGGGAGCAAACAGGAUUAGAUACCCCAGUAGUCCCUGUCUCUUAUAA
rnacentral:rRNA from 1 species